AAAAAAGCAGGGCCUUAUUGCCUUCCGUGAAUUUGGCGCUCGUAAGCUGCAGGAAAAUUGCUUUCAUUGUUUUUGGGUGAACCUCUGUAGUGGCUAGUGACUUAAGGUUCAGUAAAUGAUGGCACAUUU
rfam:Cephalotus follicularis DNA, scaffold: scaffold204, isolate: St1.